rnacentral:lncRNA from 1 species
AAUAAUAAUCUAUAAAAAUAUUUAAUUAAAAGAAAACUUACCAUAUUUGGCAUAUAAAUUCUCAGUGAAUGUUUGUAGUGGGUUUUGUAUUGUUUUUCCAUACAUUAUAUCUACCUUUUCUUAAAUCUUCCUGUCUUGGCACCUGUAUUUCUUGUUAAACUUGAGAGUGACAAUGGUGUCUCAGGUCAUAAGAUAAUUUGGAGAAACCACUAGCCAUCUAGAACAAAAAUGUUUUUGAAAUAAAUACAUUUGUGAGGCGGAAUCAAGAUAAAUAUAAACGGCAAUUAUCUGAGAAAUAAUUAUAAUAAAUAUUAAUUCAUCAUCACUUCCAUGCUGCAGUGAAAAUUGUGUGGAACAUUAGGAAAUCAGUCAUAAUGAAAUAAAGUUGGUUUCAGUCUCCAAAAGCCAUGUGAUCCUGCACCACAAAAUAACACAGUCAUUAUAUAUGAAUAAUCCAGAUAAAUGAGUCAUUUGGGAAUGCCAAAAUUGGAUUCCGAAUGGUGAUAUGGCCAGCAGAAGAAGCAUUUGGAAAAAUGAGCUAAUCAGACUACAAGAUAUUUUGCUAUUGUCUGGCCACAAUCCUUCUCUCCUUUCUCAGAGAAUCAGGACUAAAUAUUAUUAAGAGUUCCUAAUAGCAUCUGGAUCUACUUUUUGGAAUAUAGAUAAUUAGAUCAUCCGUAAAUUAUCACAAAUAAGUCUUACCUUAUAAACCCAAUUAAAACUGACAGAUAAGUGUAAGUGUAGCCCCUAGAUUAUAAUUACGGAAAUAGAGCAUAAUUUUAUUUGUUCUAAGACCUGAUCAUUUACAUGCCUCAUGUAGAGAUCGUAGGGGUUGGGAAGAUAUCCCUUAGACUACAGACAUUUCUCAAUUAUAAAACUAUUUUCAUGAUUUUCAUUAAAAUAUCCUUUAAACCAAUACUAGUCCCUUAAAUAUCCUGCAUUAUUAAUAAAGUGUGUUUCUGUACCAUGCAUUUGCAUGCGCAUGCCAGGAAAGGCUAUGUACCAAGAUAAAAAUAAAGCAUUUCUCUCCUACCAAAAUUUUAUGUCUAGAGACAUUUUAAUUCUUUUAAUCCUGUAAAUCCAACUUUGACCCUUUGUCCAUUAUUUUGUGUACAAAUCUGCAUUUCAUAGGCCAAAUAAAUGUUUCCCUUAAACUCCAAGAAAAAAAUGAGUUUAUAUGUCACUUAUAUUGAAUGAUGUAUGUUUAAACUAUGACACUUAAAUAAUAAUAAUAAUAAUAAUAAUAAUAAUAAUAUAAUAAAAAAACAGAAAUCAAUUGUGUAGACAGCUUAUAUCCAAUCAGCAUAUCAGGAGGAAUUGAGAGACAGGAGUAAAUCCUGAGUGCCUAAGAAGGACUGAGAUGAUCUGUGCUCAGGUAGCAUUAAUCUACACUGUUCAAUCAGUAAACAUCUAACUAUUCUGAAAAAAAUCUUAAAGGUUACAUGUUAUUCUGGCCCUGCUGCCUGGCAAGAGUUGGAAUAGAGUCCAGGGAAAAAGAUUUCUCUCUGAUCCUUCACCAUUAGGUAACUAAAACUUGGUAAGAAUUGAGGUCUCUUAUCCUCUAUUUCAGUUUUCAUUCCAUUUAUAAUUUAACUUAAAAAUACUGAUUAAAAUUAGCUACACUCAUAAAAAUUUUGACUUUUUCUUCAUUUAUACCCAUGAGGUCUUUCCCCUGUAUACAGCCUUCUUCAUAUUUAUUUAUAUUGUAAUCAA